UACGUAGGGGGCAAGCGUUGUCCGGAAUCAUUGGGCGUAAAGCGCGUGUAGGCGGUCCGGUAAGUCCGCUGUGAAAGUCGGGGGCUCAACCCUCGAAUGCCGGUGGAUACUGUCGGGCUAGAGUACGGAAGAGGCGAGUGGAAUUCCUGGUGUAGCGGUGAAAUGCGCAGAUAUCAGGAGGAACACCAAGUGCGAAGGCAGCUCGCUGGGACGUUACUGACGCUGAGACGCGAAAGCGUGGGGAGCAAACAGG
rnacentral:rRNA from 1 species